GGUAUCAGAGGCGAGUUUCGAACAUUAUCGAUGAUGUGCUUGAGUGGUCUCCUAGACAGGCUCUGUCAGGGAUGAUGGAAACCGUGGUCAAUGUCACCGAGUCUAAUGAUAGUGCACCUGAUGGUAGCAAAGGUAAAACUGAAAAGGUUAAUUUCCCAGAUGACCUAGACGAAGAAACCAUUCCCAAAGAUGAAAUUGGGGAUGUUACUGGAAAUGUAGAAGCGAGAAUGUACCUGAUGGUAGCAAAGGUAGCAGUGAAAAAGUAGAUUUCCCAGAUGACCUAGACGAAGAAACCAUUCCCAAAGAUGAGAUUGGGGAUGUUACUGGAAAUGUAGAAAGAUAGUGAUCAUCAGCAAAGUGACUUGUAAUUUAUAAAUGUUUGACUCAUAUGCUUUCAAGAUUUUGAUUUUGGUAUCGGCUAUCUUUUGUACCUUUUUUGCUGUUCUGAUUCUCCUUUAUCGUUAAGUAUAAUGUGGCACUCUAUUUUGGUGCAACUUAACUAAAUUUGAGAGCCAAGAAGGGUAAGUCCCAUAAGUAAUAUUUUGAAACUUGGUUUCAACAACUGCCCAGUAUUGUCCCACGAAGUACGAAGUGGGGUCUGGGGAGGGUAAUAUGUAGACAAGUCUUACCCCUACCUGAAAGGGCAGAGAGACUGUUUCCAAUCGACCAUCCAAGACUAAAAUAUAGUAUUUAUGUUUGAUAGAAAGAAAUUCACAAUUUACGUCGAGUGUCGACUUGUAUAUUGUCCUUGACGAACAAAGCUGUUUGUUCCAUCAAUCAAUGUAAGGUUAAAAGCCUAAC
rnacentral:lncRNA from 1 species